rnacentral:rRNA from 1 species
UACGUAGGGGGCAAGCGUUGUCCGGAUUCAUUGGGCGUAAAGAGCGUGUAGGCGGCCUGGUAGGUCAGCUGUGAAAACUCGAGGCUCAACCUCGAGACGCCGGUUGAAACCAUCAGGCUAGAGUCCGGAAGAGGAGAAUGGAAUUCCUGGUGUAGCGGUGAAAUGCGCAGAUAUCAGGAAGAACACCCGUGGCGAAGGCGGUUCUCUGGGACGGUACUGACGCUGAGACGCGAAAGCGUGGGGAGCGAACAGG